rnacentral:rRNA from 1 species
UGCCAGACUCCUACGGGAGGCAGCAGUGAGGAAUAUUGGUCAAUGGGCGGAAGCCUGAACCAGCCAAGUCGCGUGAGGGAAGAAGGCCCUGCGGGUCGCAGACCUCUUUGGACGGGGAGCAAGGCCGCCGACGUGUCGGCGGAAGGAGAGUACCCGUAGAACAAGCAUCGGCUAACUCCGAGCCAGCAGCCGCGGUAAUACGGAGGAUGCGAGCGUUAUUCGGAUUUAUUGGGUUUAAAGGGUGCGUAGGCGGAAUAUCAAGUCAGCGGUAAAAAUUCGGGGCUCAACCCCGUCGUGCCGUUGAAACUGUUGGUCUUGAGUAUCGGAGAGGCAGGCGGAAUUCCUAGUGUAGCGGUGAAAUGCGUAGAUAUUAGGAGGAACACCAGUGGCGAAGGCGGCCUGCUGGACGACAACUGACGGUGAGGCGCGAAAGCGUGGGGAGCAAACAGGAUUAGAUACCCGAGUAUA